GACAGAGGAUCAAGCGUUAUCCGGAAUGAUUGGGCGUAAAGCGUCUGUAGGUGGCUUUUAAGUCCGCCGUCAAAUCCCAGGGCUCAACCCUGGGCAGGCGGUGGAAACUACCAAGCUGGAGUACGGUAGGGGCAGAGGGAAUUUCCGGUGGAGCGGGUGAAAUGCGUAGAGAUCGAAAGAACACCAACGGCGAAAGCACUCUGCUGGGCCGACACUGACAUGAGAGACGAAGCUAGGGGAGCGAAUGGG
rnacentral:rRNA from 1 species